ACUCACCAGAAGAGGGCGUCAGAUCCCAUUACAGAUGGUUGUGAGCCACCAUGUGGUUGCUGGGAAUUGAAUGCAGGACCCCUGGAAGAGCACUUGGCACUCUUAACUGCUAAGCCAUCUCUCCAGCCCACUUUUAUACAUUCUACCUUCUACUUUUUGGCUUUUUCAUCCUCUGGGCUCUUGGACUUUGGGCCCUGUCACUGAAGAAUCACCCUUUGUAUUAGGGCACUGGUGUAAUUAAGAAAUACUUUCUGGAAUAUCUUUGCUGUCAAAAUCUCCCAUCUACCUCAUUGGCUAGACUCUCCUGUCCCUAUUUAAACUGUCUAAAGUAUAACAUGAAGCCUGAUACUAAAAGAACAUAGACAGAGCUGUAUUUGUGCUAUCAUUAUAGAGAUUUUUUUUAAAAAGUAAUCUUUAAUUGUGUAUAAAGUGAUUUCUCCCUGGGAAGGCAUGUGAAGUCUAAGACAACUGUAUCUUCAGCCUUUUAGAAAGAUGUUUCCAAGAAAAGCUUUGUUGACUCAGGUCACCUUGCUGCCAGUCUGUAGGUCCCCAGAGAAAUGACCUUGCUUGCCUCUUGAUUAAACUUCCUAAAUUCUUUAGUUUAAAGGCUGUACCCAAACAGAGUUUUAAAAUUACCCAUGGGAGUCAUGGAGUGAACUGUCCAUUGCAGCAACAGGAAAAGGACGGGCAUGUGGAGCACGGCUUCUGCCUUCCGACCAGAGCAUGGGGAACAGGUUCCUGUGUACACUGCACAGUGAAAUAGGAUAGGCAGUAGCUACAUCACAGAUUAAUGUGUAAGGGAGUCAGCUGCAGGGGGCACCGUUAUGAAGAAAGACUUGAUACAAGCAGGGUGAGUGAGUGUGUAAUUUCCCAGCAUGUAUUAAUUCAUGUAUGUGAAGAAAAACAGACCAGAUUGCAGGGGUGUACAAUUUUGGCAGAUUAGCUUGAGGCAGUGAAUAUUGAAUUAUCGAUUAGGAGCCUGCCUUGUGGAGAUAUGUGGAAUGCUCACUGAUGUAGUUAAGUCAACUCAGAUAUUUGAGAUAUAAACAAUUGGCUCUGCUGUGUUUGUCAGCAGUAACAUUGCACAUAGGGACAAGGUCACACACUGUCUUAUUAAUGCCAUUCUCUCUACCAGGUAUGUCUGCUCUUUUUUAAAGGUAGUAUAUGUAUCUGUUUUCUUCAGAUAUAUUUAUUUAUCUUUUUAAAAGGUCAGUUGUUGGUAUUACUUUUUGCAUUUCAUUUUCUGUAUGUAUCACUGCUCUAAUCUCUUGUUCGUUUCUAUUCUCUAAAGUUUCCUCAUCAUUAAGAAUUUCAUUCCUUUUGUUCAUAUUUGUUUCUGUUUAGAGCAAUGUCUUCUGUAGCUGAGACCUUGGUCAUUAUAUGUAGUUAAGACUUGCUUUGAAAACCUAAUCCUGGCUCUGCUGCACCAUGCCUUCAAGACAGUCAUACACCUCCUUUCAGGCUGGGCCCUUUGCUCUGUGUGAAGAAAAAUGAGUGUCCUCUAACCUCCAUGGCUUUUUUGUGGGAAUUAGAGAUAAGAGGGACCGUGUAACAUUUGAGUUCAUCGACCAGCUUUGAAGUGGUGCAGUCACAGCACAGAAAGGCUAUGGAGGGAAGAAAGCUAGAGCUUUCCUGUUUUGACAGUAGUUGGCUUUAGCGAUGAGUACUCAGGUAAUCAAUUUUAGACGGUCAGUAAAAGUCCAAACUGGCCAUUUUGGGAAGUUCACAGACCAGGGCAAUCAAGAAUCUGCAUGUGAAACUAAAUUUAUUUCUAGAAACCAAAUUUUUGUAGUUACACUAGUUCAACCAACACAGAAGAUCUGUACAAACUGGUGUCGCUGUGUAUAACAGGAUUGUUAUAUUUUUGUCCAAUAGUACACAACCUGAAAGAAAAUGUAUGAAUAAUAAUUGGUGUGUUCUAAUACAUAUGUCUAGUCUAUGAACAAUAUUAUACCAUAAAGCCUGUUCAACAUUUAAAAUAAUUUUUGAAAUCAUAAUUAAUCAUUUGAACCUUCUCAUUUUUUCCUACUGCUAAGUCUCAAACCCUGGGACAAAUGACUGAUAUCUAACAAAUCAAAGUGGAUGUGGCUGUCAAUUCUCCUUGACAUUCCUCAGUUCCUUCCUGUUACAAGGUGUGCCUGGUAGAACUGCCCGCUAGGCCAGGGGUUGGUCUGUCUCUCAACUGCCCUUCCUUUUGUAAUUCAACCAUUUUGUUAACUGGUCUUUUUUUAUUUAUCAUUUACUCCCCUGACUGACUGGUUAUUUCUUCAAGACUAAUAGGUUAUUUCUCUGCCUUUGAAAUAAGAUAGUUGAAUCCAGAUUAGAUUAGAUUAGAUUAGAUCAGAUUAGAUUAGAUUAGAUGUAGGUUUUUUUUGGGAAGUCCCUUUGGGAGGGGUGGCAGAGGGGGAAAGAAAGACAUUAGGUUGUGUGCACAGAGAGGAAAGGGAAGGAAAAGGGCAAGAGGAGACCAGGAUGUCUGGAUUAUAUAGGAAAGAGCCUCUGGGAGAAGGCAGCCCAGCCUCUGGUCUGGAAAGUUCAGGGUAGGGGACAGGUUUUGCCAGCUAGGGACUGAGAAAACCUGGAGGCCAGGUCUGCUUUGAUAUGUAAAAUACACACCUCAGUGCCUUGUCUAGAACAUUGACCUCUUGAUCUGCUUCACCCCACUACCCUGUACCCUCUUCUCUCUACUUAUUAGCUUCAGUCAUCCCCACUCUGAAAUUUCCCAAAUAUCCCUAUGUCUUGCUAUGUUCUCCCUUUUAUCUAUAAUAAAAUUUCUUUCUUUUUUUUUUUUUUAGAUUUAUUUAUUUAUUAUAUGUAAGUACACUGUAGCUGUCUUCAGACACUCCAGAAGAGGGCAUCAAAACUUGUUACAAAUGGUUGUGAGCCACCAUGUGGUUGCUGGGAUUUGAACUCCGGACCUUCGGAAGAGCUGUUGGGUGCUCUUACCCACUGAGCCAUCUCACCAGCCCAUAAAAUUUCUACUACACCAAAACUAGGAGAAACCAUUUCUUUUCCUUUUCAUUUCUUUUUUUUUUUUCACUCACCUUCCAUUGACCACGUCUUGCUCUCAAAUUAAUGUCACGUUUUUCUUUAAUUGUUAUUACUGUUAGUUUUGACCCAAGUUUAGCUACAGGACUAAAAAAAAAAAAGACCAAACAAGAUGCAAAACAAAAGGCAAUAGACCUCAUACUGAGUCUGGACAAGGCAACUCAAUAGGAAGAAAAGAGUUGCAAGAGCAGUUGAGGGAGUCAGAGCUACAUCUUUUCUCACUGUGAGGAUUCCCACACAAGCACCAAGCUAAUAGCCAUAACAUACCAGCAGAGGACUUGGUAGAGACCCAUGCAAACCCCAUUUUUGUCAUUUUGGUCCGUAUGAAAUUUUUGGCCAUCCAGGUUGUGUAAGACUUGAGUUUCCUCUCCUGGUAUGGGCGUCACGUUAAAGCAACCAUUGAUUCCUGACUCCAAAUGAUGUCCAUGUCUCCACCAUGCCCCUGCACAUCUUGCAGUCAGGACAGAUUUUACAUGGAGGGUUUUUUAGGUGGGUUGAUGUCCAGGCAGGAUUCUCUUCCUAUAGCCUGGAGAGUGUCUUUUCAUCACAAAGAGACUAGAACACUGGAGUGCAGUCUCCAAGCCUGCAAACAUGUCUGUAUUCUGUGACCUAUGUGGGAGCUGUCCUCAGCAAUGGCUCUGUUGUCUGUUUUCAGAGAGUAACCUUCUGUCCUAGCAUCACUCUGCAUUGUAUAGGGAUCCCCAUGGGACCUUCUUUUCUUUUGUUUUUUAUCGGGACAGGGUUUCUCUAUAGUCCUGGCAGUCCCGGAACUCACUUUGUAGACCAGGCAGCCCUCAAAGUCAGAAAUCCACCUGCCUCUUCCUCCUGAGCGCUGGGAUUAAAGGCAUGCACCACCACGCCCAGCUCCCGUGGGACCUUCUUGGCCAACAAUUCAAGUGAAUAUAGCCCACUCCUACUGAAGCCCUUCCUGACCACAAAAGAUGGCCAUUUCAGAUUCUGUAUUCUCCAUUACUAGAAGUCCUCACUAAGGUCACCCUCAUAGACUCCAGGAAGUCACCCGUACACUCAGCUUCUAUACUAAUACCCCCUUAAUUCUAGUCAUUUCUCACUGCACUGGACUUCCUCUCACUCUUCAAAGUCAGUCCACCCACAGAAUCUAUUCUAAUUCCCUUUCCAGGAAGAUCCAUUCUUCUCUUGGGUAGCCUUCCUCUUUACCUAGUCUCUCUGGGUAGGUAGCUUGAUUAUCAUUUACCUAACAAUUUAUAUCUGUUUUUAAAUCAAUGCAUACCAUAUUUGCUUUUCUGAGUCUUGUUUUCUCACUUAGGAGCUUUUUUCUAGUUGAAUCUAUUUUCUUGUAAAUGUCAUGCUGUUCUUUAUUUGUCUGUGUUGUCCAAUCUUCAUGAAUCUCUGCAUCUGUUUCAGUCAGAUGCUGUGUAGCCUCCUGUCUGCAUGUAUAGAAGUAUUCCACCCUAUAGGAGGAACAACAAUAUGAACUAAUCAGUACCCCCAGAACUCGUGUCUCUAGCUGCAUAUGUAGCAGAAGAUGGCCUAGUCGGCCAUCAUUAGGAAGAGAGGCCCCUUGAUCUAGCAAACUUUAUAUGUCCCAGUAGAGGGGAUAGCCAGGGCCAAGAAGUGGGAGUGACUGGGUAGGGGAGCAGGGUGGUAGGAGGAUAUAGGAGACUUUUGGGAUAGCAUUUGAAAUGUAAAUGAAAAAAAUAUCUAAAAAAUAAAAAAGAGUAAAAUUAAUUAAAUAAAUAAAUGAAUAAUAAGUAUUCCAAGUAAUAUUAGGGAUUGAUGCUUGUCCAUGGGAUGAGUCUCAAGUUGGGUAAGGUAUAGGUUGGCUCUUUCCUUAGUGUCUGUUCCAUCUUUGUGCCUGCAUUUCCUCCUUUCCUCUCCUUUCCUUUCCUUUCCUUUCCUUUCCUUUUCUUUUCUUUUCUUUUCUUUUCUUUUCUUUUCUUUUCUUUCUUUCCUUCUUUCUUAAGAUUUAUUUAUUUAUUAAUUAUUAGUAUGCUGUAGCUGUUUUGAGACACCCAGAAGUGACACAGGUGAACCUUAUAGUUCAGUUUCCUUCUAAAAUAACUUGCUGAUUUGAUUGUAACUUCUCUGUCAGGGAAUAGUGGAGGAAACACCAGAAGUACAUGUAUAUAUUGUCAAGGAGGCAUAUAUUUAUUUACAGUGAUGUCAGGAUUAUGCUUUGUGUUGUCCAAAUCUAUGGGAUAUUUUAGGAUGCAGUGACUUAUGAUGAUGUGAGUGUGAACUUCACUGAGGAAGAGUGGGAUUUGCUGGAUCCUUCCCAGAAAAGUCUCUAUGAAGAGGUGAUGCUGGAGACCUACCAGAACAUCACUGCUAUAGGCUACAAUUUGGAAGACCAUCAUAUUGAAGAACAUAGUCAAAGUUC
rnacentral:lncRNA from 1 species